ensembl:misc_RNA Metazoa_SRP Metazoan signal recognition particle RNA
GCUGGGCGUGGUGGCGGGCACCUGUAAUCCCAGCUACUCGGGAGGCUGAGACAGGAGAAUCGCUUGAACCCAGGAGGCAGAGGUUGCAGUGAGCAGAGAUCGUGCCAUUGCACUCCAGCCUGGGUGAUAGAGCAAGACUCUGUCUCAA